rnacentral:rRNA from 1 species
UGCGCAGGCGGACUAUUAAGUCAGUGGUGAAAUCUCUCGGCUCAACCGAGAAACUGCCAUUGAAACUGAUAGCCUUGAGUGUAGUUGUAGUAGGCGGAAUAUAGCAUGUAGCGGUGAAAUGCUUAGAUAUGCUAUAGAACACCGAUCGCGAAGGCAGCUUACUAAACUAUUACUGACGCUCAUGCACGAAAGCGUGGGGAGCAAACAGGAUUAGAUACCCUGGUAGUC